rnacentral:rRNA from 1 species
CCGCUGACGACCGGCGCACGGGUGCGUAACGCGUAUGCAACCUACCUUCUACAGGGGGAUAGUCAAUAGAAAUGUUGAAUAAUACCCCAUACGAUCUUUGAAUAGCAUUAUUUAAAGAAGGAAGCUCCGGCGGUAGAAGAUGGGCAUGCGUCCUAUUAGUUAGUUGGUAAGGUAACGGCUUACCAAGACUUCGAUAGGUAGGGGUCCUGAGAGGGAGACCCCCCACACUGGUACUGAGACACGGACCAGACUCCUACGGGAGGCAGCAGUGAGGAAUAUUGGACAAUGGAGGCAACUCUGAUCCAGCCAUGCCGCGUGCAGGAAGACUGCCCUAUGGGUUGUAAACUGCUUUUAUACAGGAAGAAAUAUACCUACGUGUAGGUAUUUGACGGUACUGUACGAAUAAGGAUCGGCUAACUCCGUGCCAGCAGCCGCGGUAAUACGGAGGAUCCAAGCGUUAUCCGGAAUCAUUGGGUUUAAAGGGUCCGUAGGCGGUCUUUUAAGUCAGAGGUGAAAUCCUACAGCUCAACUGUAGAAUUGCCUUUGAUACUGAAAGACUUGAGUUAUUGUGAAGUAGUUAGAAUGUGUGGUGUAGCGGUGAAAUGCAUAGAGAUCACACAGAAUACCGAUUGCGAAGGCAGAUUACUAACAAUAUACUGACGCUGAGGGACGAAAGCGUGGGUAGCGAACAGGAUUAGAUACCCUGGUAGUCCACGCCGUAAACGAUGGAUACUAGCUGUUCGACCAACAUUGGUUGGUUGAGUGGCUAAGCGAAAGUGAUAAGUAUCCCACCUGGGGAGUACGGUCGCAAGACUGAAACUCAAAGGAAUUGACGGGGGCCCGCACAAGCGGUGGAGCAUGUGGUUUAAUUCGAUGAUACGCGAGGAACCUUACCAGGCUUAAAUG